GACAGAGGCCUCGAGCGUUAGGCGGAAUCACUGGGCUUAAAGCGUGUGUAGGCGGGCCCGUAAGUGUCUUGUGAAAUCCCACGGCUCAACCGUGGAACUGCUGGACAUACUGCGGGUCUUGGGCCAACUAGGGGCAGCCGGAACAAGCGGUGGAGCGGUGAAAUGCGUAGAUAUCGCUUGGAACGCCGAAGGUGAAAACAGGCUGCUGGGGUUGCGCCGACGCUGAGACACGAAAGCCAGGGGAGCAAACGGG
rnacentral:rRNA from 1 species